ACACAUGCAAGUCGAGGGGCAGCAUGAUCUUAGCUUGCUAAGAUUGAUGGCGACCGGCGCACGGGUGAGUAACGCGUAUCCAACCUUCCCCUUAGUAGGGCAUAGCCCGUAGAAAUGCGGAUUAAUACCCUAUGUUUUCCAAUGAGGACAUCUGAGCUGGAACAAAGAUUAAUCGCUAAGGGAUGGGGAUGCGUCUGAUUAGCUUGUUGGCGGGGUAACGGCCCACCAAGGCUACGAUCAGUAGGGGUUCUGAGAGGAAGGUCCCCCACAUUGGAACUGAGACACGGUCCAAACUCCUACGGGAGGCAGCAGUGAGGAAUAUUGGUCAAUGGACGAGAGUCUGAACCAGCCAAGUAGCGUGCAGGAAGACGGCCCUAUGGGUUGUAAACUGCUUUUAUGCGGGGAUAAAGUGAGGGACGUGUCCCUUUUUGUAGGUACCGCAUGAAUAAGGACCGGCUAAUUCCGUGCCAGCAGCCGCGGUAAUACGGAAGGUCCGGGCGUUAUCCGGAUUUAUUGGGUUUAAAGGGAGCGCAGGCCGAUGGUU
rnacentral:rRNA from 1 species